rnacentral:rRNA from 1 species
CCUACGGGUGGCAGCAGUGGGGGAUAUUGCACAAUGGGGGGAACCCUGAUGCAGCGACGCCGCGUGGGUGAAGAAGCGCCUCGGCGCGUAAAGCUCUGUCAGCAGGGAAGAAAAUGACGGUACCUGACGAAGAAGCCCCGGCUAACUACGUGCCAGCAGCCGCGGUAAUACGUAGGGGGCAAGCGUUAUCCGGAUUUACUGGGUGAAAAGGGGGCGCAGACGGCGAAGCAAGCCAGGGGUGAAAGGCCGGGGCCCAACCCCGGGCCUGCUGUUGGAACUGCGUGGCUGGAGUGCAGGAGGGGCAGGCGGAAUUCCUGGUGUAGCGGUGAAAUGCGUAGAUAUCAGGAGGAACACCGGUGGCGAAGGCGGCCUGCGGGACUGCAACUGACGUUGAGGCCCGAAAGCGUGGGGAGCAAACAGGAUUAGAUACCCCAUAGUC